rnacentral:rRNA from 1 species
CAGUAGCCGCGGUAAUACGGAGGGUGCAAGCGUUAAUCGGAAUUACUGGGCGUAAAGCGCACGCAGGCGGUCUGUCAAGUCGGAUGUGAAAUCCCCGGGCUCAACCUGGGAACUGCAUUCGAAACUGGCAGGCUAGAGUCUUGUAGAGGGGGGUAGAAUUCCAGGUGUAGCGGUGAAAUGCGUAGAGAUCUGGAGGAAUACCGGUGGCGAAGGCGGCCCCCUGGACAAAGACUGACGCUCAGGUGCGAAAGCGUGGGGAGCAAACAGGAUUAGAUACCCCAGUAGUCCCUGUCUCUUAUAC